rnacentral:rRNA from 1 species
CGUGUAGGCGGUUGCUUAAGUCUGAUGUGAAAGCCCUGGGCUCAACCCGGGAAGUGCAUUGGAAACUGGGCAACUUGAGUACGGGAGAGGAUAGUGGAAUUCCGAGUGUAGGGGUGAAAUCCGUAGAUAUUCGGAGGAACACCGGUGGCGAAGGCGGCUAUCUGGACCGAUACUGACGCUGAGACGCGAAAGCGUGGGGAGCAAACA